rnacentral:rRNA from 1 species
GGGUAAGUUCCGACCUGCACGAAUCGUGUAACGACCGGACCGCUGUCUCGGAGUGGUUCUCGGCGAAAUUGUAGUGGCGGUGAAGAUGCCGCCUGCCCGCAGUAGGACGGAAAGACCCUAUGCACCUUUACUAUAAGCUGGUAUUGGGUUCUGGUCUUUAAUGCGUAGCAUAGGUGGGAGACGUUGAAUCGGCGGUUUCGGUCGCCGAGGAGUCAUCAGUGAAAUACCACUCUUUAUUGAUUAGGAUUCUAACCUCGACCCUGUUAGCCAGGCGAGGGACAGUGCCUGCGGGUUAGUUUGACUGGGGCGGUUUCCUCCUAAAAAGUAACGGAGGAGUGCGAAGGUACACUCAGCACGGUUGGCAACCGUGCGUCGAGCAUAUGGGUAGAAGUGUGCUUAACUGUGAGACCUACAAGUCGAGCAGAUGCGAAAGCAGGCCCAAGUGAUCCGAUGGUUGAAUGUGGAAUUGCCAUCGCUCAACGGACAAAAGGUACGCUAGGGAUAACAGGCUGAUCGCGCCCAAGAGUUCAUAUCGACGGCGCGGUUUGGCACCUCGAUGUCGGC